rnacentral:tRNA from 1 species
GCGGUCUUAGCUCAGUUGGUUAGAGCGUCACGUUGACAUCGUGAAGGCCAGUGGUUCGAGUCCACUAGACCGCACAA